GUAGAUUGCUAAUCCGGUCAUUGGCAGGGCACUUUUCCUCAAAAACAGGCAAUUUUCCGCACUUUUCCACACUGCACUCGCAAUUGCCCUUCUGUUCUGUGUGUUUUACAUUCAAAUUUUCUAUUUUCCAGAGCGUUUUUCGAUUUCAACAUGGACCGAUCUGCGCGGAAGCGAGUUCAAAGCGUUACUAACAACCAACUGGUUUGGAAUUAAAACCCACUGGAAAGUCAAAAGCCGCACAGCAAGCGGAGAAAGAGAGUGAGCAUAUAGAGAGAGAGAACCGACAGAGAAAUAUAUAUAUAUGUAUAUGCAUUUAUGUAUGCUUUUUGUUGGCGGUCUUAAGCUCGAGUUACAUGAAACGAAAGCAGAGCAGAAACGUGAAAAAGAUCACACGAGCUAUGAUCGACGACUUAAAUACCUUCGAUAAUGAUACAACUAACUAAUUAACUUAGAAAUCAACUAACUUGGUAAUCAACUAUUUAAGGGCCAAUACUUGGAGUUCAACACGCACGAAUCGGAUAUUAAUGAGAACAUAUAUCUUUUACAAUUUGACUCCUGUGCAUUCAAAUCAACAUUUUAUUGAAGAAACUCUCGGCAACUCACAACGCAGCAAACUAAACAUAGCUCCUAAUUCGCUUAUGCACUGCCAGGAACUUUAAGCUAAACCACUUUCAACGACAUCAAAAUAACCAGCCGUCAUAACAAUGGGCAAAAAAGCAAGAGAAAUCCUAAAGAAAGCUCCCAAAUCAGCUGUCACAGUGGAAUAAUAAAAAUAAUUUAUUUGCAUUUUAUUUGCCCAGCCUGGGAGUCUGGGUCGGACUUGUUCUCUAGGACCAAAGACCAAGGACCAAGGACAACAAGUUGCUGACACACAAACGGAAAGGACGCACAAAAAAAGGAGGAAAUUAUACGGAUUUGACAGAUGAGCGAAGGUAACAUCUUUUAAAAUUUGUUUCUCGCUGUGUAAAAAAAAUGGAGGAGGGACAGAUUUUUGCCGGAGUUGGACACCAUGCAAGUGAUAGUGAAAAUCCUAGCUGGAAGCCACGGCGUCAUUGUCUUGCCCACCAUUGCCAUUUGGUGUCAUUUGGCAUCAUCAUCAAUAUGGCUAAAAGGACAAUGCGUUAAAUGCCAAGCUGCAAGCUGGAGAUGUGCCACGCCCCCACUUUCCCGACCCGCCCCCGUCGCCAUAGGUGACAUCUGGGCAAUGAGUGCGCAUAUAGCGCUGUUUUCGGUAAGCUCUCGCAAUUGCUUUCUGUUUUUUUGGUCUCCACAUGAGGGAAAAAAACGUUAUAAAGAUGGGGAGAAAGGUCGCUAUUAAGUGUACUUCUGAAAAUGCCUAUCAAAG